rnacentral:rRNA from 1 species
AUUGAACGCUGGCGGCAUGCUUUACACAUGCAAGUCGAACGGUAACAGGCCGCAAGGUGCUGACGAGUGGCGAACGGGUGAGUAAUGCAUCGGAACGUGCCCAGUCGUGGGGGAUAACGCAGCGAAAGCUGCGCUAAUACCGCAUACGAUCUAUGGAUGAAAGCGGGGGACCGUAAGGCCUCGCGCGAUUGGACCGGCCGAUGUCAGAUUAGGUAGUUGGUGGGGUAAAGGCUCACCAAGCCAACGAUCUGUAGCUGGUCUGAGAGGACGACCAGCCACACUGGGACUGAGACACGGCCCAGACUCCUACGGGAGGCAGCAGUGGGGAAUUUUGGACAAUGGGCGCAAGCCUGAUCCAGCAAUGCCGCGUGUAGGAAGAAGGCCUUCGGGUUGUAAACUGCUUUUGUACGGAACGAAACGGUCCGGGUUAAUACCCUGGGCUAAUGACGGUACCGUAGGAAUAAGCACCGGCUAACUACGUGCCAGCCGCCGCCGUAAAAC